AAGCCCCGCCCCCCGGCAGUGCCACAGGGUCGCCCGGCGCCGGGGCGGGGCCUGCGCACGCGCCCGAGCCCGCGCCGUAGGGCCGCGUCUGACGGGCCGCGCCCGCCUGCAUACUGGAAUAACAAGCUCAAGACCCUGGCUGUUACAGCACCUGAUAACAACCUGAAUGUUUAAAUCAAAUCUGCAACUUCAGAACAACCCUACGUACCUAGCCUUAUUCUUAUACCGUCCCCUCUGUGCUACUGAGGCCAACGUUGGUUUGUUCUUGCUUCUGGUUACCUUGUCUGGAAUCAAUCAUGGCUGACGACUCUCAGAGAAACUUCCGCUCAGUAUAUUAUGAAAAAGUGGGGUUUCGUGGAGUUGAAGAAAAGAAAUCACUGGAAAUUCUGUUAAAAGAUGACCGUCUGGAUAUUGAGAAGCUCUGCACAUUUAGUCAGAGGUUUCCUCUUCCAUCUAUGUAUCGUAUACUGGUGUGGAAAGUCCUUUUAGGAAUUAUUCCUCCUCACCAUGAAUCUCACGCUUUGGUGAUGAAGUACCGGAAGGAGCAGUACUGGGAUAUACACCAUGCUCUUCGUGUAAUUCGUUUUAUUAAUGAUUCUACCCCACAGGUAGAUGUUUUCCUCCGCAUACAUCAACUGGAAUCAGGAAAAUUGCCUCGAAACUUGGCUUUUCCAUUGGAACCUGAAGAUGAAGUGUUUCUUGCUAUAGCUAAAGCAAUGGAGGAAAUGGUGGAAGAUCCUAUAGAAUGCUAUUGGCUUGUCAGUUGCUUUGUGAAUCAGCUGAACAGCAAACACAAAGAUUCAUUACAACAACUGCCAAAAAUUCUGGAGCAGUAUUUGAACAUAGAAGAUAACAGACUUCUGAUGCAUCUGAAAGCGUGUGCUGCAAUGAGCAAACUCCCUUACGAUCUCUGGUUUAAAAAGUGCUUUGCAGGCUGUUUACCUGAGUCCAGUUUACAGAGAGUUUGGGACAAAGUGAUCAGUGGGUCCUGCAAGAUUCUCGUUUUUGUUGCUGUGGAGAUAUUAUUAACCUUUAAAAUGAAGAUAAUAGCACUGAAUACUGCAGAAAAGAUCACACAGUUUUUGGAAAAUGAGCCUGGUGUUGGGUACCACUUCAGCAGCUGGGGUACCAGCCAUCUUCCCUGGCACACCUUGGCUAAACCAGCUCACAAAGACGGUGCUGGUGGCGCAGCUGGUACAACGUCCCAUUGAUCUGCUCGGGUAAGUCUUGCUCUCCUGCUUUGCUCCCUGCUGAGGUGUGGGCAUGCACCGUGUCACGGCAGUGCCGGGCUGCAGUGCUGAGCCUGGCUGGCAACAGGAGGGAUGGGAUCCUUGGCUGCAUCCGUUCAUUACGCCGUCAGUCACUGGGACAGAGGGUGAUAAAGUACACGGGCACAGGAAUGCUUUUUUUUUUUUUUUUAAAUGAAUUUUUUUAAGAAACUGCAUACAUCAGAGACAAACAAUAAUUUAAAUACCAUGCAGUUUCAGUAUGUACAAAACCUAGGACAUAGAUCCAGUUUAAUUUUUUUCUAGUUAUUUACAUCAUUUUCAUACAGCCAUAAUCUGUUAAAUUACAAUACUGGAAGAGCACAUGAUUGACAGCCACCACACUCACUCCUAUACAAAGACAAACUAUAUACAUACACUUGGAUAUCAACUGGAAAAUGCAACUGGUGUAGGAGUAACUGGGACACAUGGGAACGCAGGUAAUGUGCCCGUCACCUCCUCUUUGUUUACAGAAGGUGUUCCAAGCUCGAGCAGACUGAACACCUGGGAAAAAUAAUUUGUCCCCUUUUACUUUCCUGAUUUUUUUUUAGCCUAGUCAUCUCCCAUGGCUGUUUAUACAAAAUGAUUUUAUUUGCAGGCACGUUAGGGAGCCCCCGUUCACAUCUAACUAUGGGUUUACGUCUCCGCCGUCUAUUUUGAGGAGUGCAAGCUUUCCCUGGGCAUGUUGGAAGUGCUCCCUCCCUGUUGGUUUAUAGCGUUUCCACUGCACAGACGGCACUGUAGAAAUAAUGGCGGGUGAGUUUGGUGACUAGCUGCAGUGAUGACAAAGUGCUGUGGUUACAUUUAAGUAUUAGGCUGAAAUCUAUUUGUGUAAUAGGCUCACUAAAUUGUUUCAGUUAACAUAAAUUAGUUAAAAGUCUAUUAUAUUUUCCCCCACCACCCCCUUCCUUCUCUUCUGAUACUGUCUAGAGUGCGCACUAGGAAUUGUCUAGAGGCAAAAGCUGGCCUGAGCCCCGUCCCAGCAAACCUGCUGCCUGAAACUUCUUUGGCUUGCAAGUCCCUAAGCAGCAGGGUGCAGGGUGGGGGAAAGCCCCAGGGUGACCUUCCCUGCUGGUCAUAAACACCUCGCCUGGUCCCUGUACACACUGCUGGUGAGGGCAGGCGGGCGAUGUGAUGGCACCACCACGUUUCCUCGCCGUCGCUUCUUUCAAAACAAUUGAAACUCUUGUCUAGACAUUUUGGAAUCGCUUUUCUAAUCCUCGCCACCUCCCCAGUCUCCCAGUUUCCACUUCAUCUUCCCAUAGGCUGUAGAAUGUGUCACAAUACUUGCACGUUUUAAGUAUGAAUAACCCAUCAGGAUUCAAUCCAAAAUGUUUUUCUUCCUUGACUCUAGAAUAUUAUCUCUAUUAUCAGCCCUGGAGAUGGAUGAUUGGAAUAGCGAUUUUCGUUCUGCGUUGAUUUUUCCAUUUUUCCAUUCUCUAAACCUGAGAUUCGCAGCUGCUUUGCUGUGAUAGAGAUGGCUUUCACAGAUGAGAUGACAAAUACUCAAGAAGAGAGAAUAAUAAAAAAAAAAAAAAAAAAAAAA